GGGGAUGUACUGGAUUCGACAGGGAAUAUACUUCAUAAGCAGCAAGCCGGGGUUUGGCAUUUCACCUCGUUAGAAUAGAAAUUCCAAACAUCUUAAGCGCAAACAAUAGUGUUGCCCGACUCGUUAAUGCCGUUAGACAGGCAAAAGAUGGUUUCGUUGCUAUGCUUCAAGCACCAGCUAUGAACUACAACUUUGCCUAACUUUCGGAGUUUAAUGAGUUCCUAAUCCGCAUUGCGGAGUAGGGGUCCUAGGAUACUUUUCCUUUCGAGUUGAUCAGGACCGUCACAAAGAAAGGAUGCUGUUUGGUUAGUCAUUGUUGAUUCUAAUCAAGCAAAAGAUCGAUAUUGACACUCUAGCUCGCUUUUGUCUAUUUCAAUAAGCUAGAGAAUACAAAUAGACUAAGCUUGUAGCGGUUUAUGGGGAUAGUUCUUGGACGGGGGUUCGAUUCCCCCCAUCUCCACCA
rnacentral:tmRNA from 1 species